AAAGACUAUUUGUAUGACAGCCCAGACUUCCAGAAAGAGAUCAGGUCCCUGAAUCCCCAUCAUCAUGAACUGGCACAUGAUCAUCUCAGGGCUCAUUGUAGUAGUGAUCAAAGCUGUUGGGAUGACCUUAUUCCUGCUGUAUUUCUCACGGAUUUUGGGCAGAAACGAUGAAAGCCUCGCUCCUACAAGGAGCUAUGGAACAGCCUGUCCCAGUGACUGGGAAUUUUAUCAAGGAAGAUGCUUCUUCUUCUCCACCUCCGAAUUAUCUUGGAAAAACAGCAAGGAUGACUGUGAGACAAAAGGUUCUACACUGGCAAUUGUCAACACACCAGAGAAACUGAAGUUUCUUCAGGACAUAGCUGAUUCUGAGAAGCACUUUAUUGGUUUGGUGCGUCAGCCUGGAGAGAAAACGUGGCACUGGGUCAACAAAUCUGUGUUCAAUGGCAAUGUUACCAACGAGAACCAGAACUUCCUCUGCGUCACUAUAGGCCUGACAAAGACAUUUGAUGCUGUAUCGUGUGACGUCACCUAUCGCUGGAUCUGCGAGAAGACUCCCAAGUGAUUAUGGGUCUCUACAGCAAGGGCAAACAUUUACAGAGGCAGCAAAAGAGAUGAGUUGCAACUGAAGCUAGCCCAGGAAAUAGAGAGCAUCAAGCACUGUGCCCGUCUUCCAUAGGCAUUCCCCAAGACCACACCCCUUGAGAGAGGGGACUAGACUCUCGUCAUCUCCAGCAGAUAGGGCCAGCCUGCUGGAGAUGAAAUCCAUAUGGAAAUGAAGUCUGUUUCUGUAGAGCUGAGUAUUUUGACUAAUUCGUGGGGUUUUGUCUGUUGACAGAACCUGUA